UACGUAGGCAGCGAGCGUUGUUCGGAGUUACUGGGCGUAAAGGGCGCGUAGGCGGCCGAUCAAGUCGGGGGUGAAAGCCUGUGGCUUAACCACAGAAUGGCCUUCGAUACUGUUUGGCUUGAGACCGGAAGAGGUUAGUGGAACUGCGAGUGUAGAGGUGAAAUUCGUAGAUAUUCGCAAGAACACCAGUGGCGAAGGCGGCUGACUGGUCCGGUUCUGACGCUGAGGCGCGAAAGCGUGGGGAGCAAACAGG
rnacentral:rRNA from 1 species